AACGAACGCUGGCGGCAGGCUUAACACAUGCAAGUCGAGCGCUGUAGCAAUACAGAGCGGCGCACGGGUGAGUAACACGUGGGAACAUGCCUUUCGGUUCGGAAUAACUCAGGGAAACUUGUGCUAAUACCGGAUACGCCCUUACGGGAAAGAUUUAUUGCCGAAAGAGUGGCCCGCGUUGGAUUAGCUAGUUGGCGGGGUAAAGACCCACCAAGGUGACGAUCCAUAGCUGGUCNGAGAGGACGACCAGCCACACUGGGACUGAGACACGGCCCAGACUCCUACGGGAGGCAGCAGUGGGGAAUCUUGGACAAUGGGGGAAACCCUGAUCCAGCCAUGCCGCGUGAGUGAUGAAGGCCCUAGGGUUGUAAAACUCUUUCGACGGGACGAUAAUGACGGUACCCGUAGAAGAAGCUCCGGCUAACUUCGUGCCAG
rnacentral:rRNA from 1 species